rnacentral:rRNA from 1 species
AUUGAACGCUGUCGGCAGGCCUAACACAUGCAAGUCGAACGGUAGCACAGAGAGCUUGCUCUCGGGUGACGAGUGGCGGACGGGUGAGUAAUGUCUGGGAAACUGCCCGAUGGAGGGGGAUAACUACUGGAAACGGUAGCUAAUACCGCAUAAUGUCGCAAGACCAAAGAGGGGGACCUUCGGGCCUCUUGCCAUCGGAUGUGCCCAGAUGGGAUUAGCUAGUUGGUGAGGUAAUGGCUCACCAAGGCGACGAUCCCUAGCUGGUCUGAGAGGAUGACCAGCCACACUGGAACUGAGACACGGUCCAGACUCCUACGGGAGGCAGCAGUGGGGAAUAUUGCACAAUGGGCGCAAGCCUGAUGCAGCCAUGCCGCGUGUGUGAAGAAGGCCUUCGGGUUGUAAAGCACUUUCAGCGGGGAGGAAGGCAAUACGGUUAAUAACCGUGUUGAUUGACGUUACCCGCAGAAGAAGCACCGGCUAACUCCGUG